UACAGAGGGGGCAAGCGUUGUUCGGAAUUACUGGGCGUAAAGGGCGCGUAGGCGGCCUGUUAAGUCGAAUGUGAAAUCCCCGGGCUCAACCCGGGAACUGCGUCCGAUACUGGCAGACUUGAAUUCGGGAGAGGGAUGCGGAAUUCCAGGUGUAGCGGUGAAAUGCGUAGAUAUCUGGAGGAACACCGGUGGCGAAGGCGGCAUCCUGGACCGAGAUUGACGCUGAGGCGCGAAAGCCAGGGGAGCAAACGGG
rnacentral:rRNA from 1 species